AUCUCUCAUCCUAUUCACGAACUACCAUCAACAAGCUGUAGGAAAAAAAUUUACAAAUAAAAGCAGAAAAGCAUUUAUACUGUAGCCUGAGUUAUCAACGGGCACCAUAUUUAUAUUCUUAUUUUCUAAUGGCUACAGGCACUGCUAUUUUGGUGUAGGGUCGUUCUUGUUGGCAACCUUAACUAAUUAGCCUCCAAAUGGAAGAACAUUGAUUUUGAUGACGAUGAAGAUGACUUCAACAUGGCUGACGACAAUGAUGAUGAAGCGGCGUAUUAGAUGUUGCUCUUGGGAAUGCUUUUCUGGCUUUCUUCAACUUGGCAAAUGGAAGCAUUCCUUUUCCCCAUACCAAAUCAGAUGAGUUUGAGUAAUUAGCAUAAGGUUGCUAUACAGUCAGAGGGCCUUCUUUUUUGUUUUUUGCCAUUUUUUUCUGAUUGAUUAGGUAAAGAAUCAAACUGCUAACCCUACUGCUUCUUUUUAGAUACCAUGCCAUGUUGAUUUGACCGAAAGAAUCUUAUGGCUUUUCUAAAGUGCAAAGGAGGCUACAUUACAGUGAGGGGAUGAUGGAACUCACUUGGUUGCUUAUAUCGGUUUGAGUGAAUUAGAUUAUCUCACUUAAAUAUAUGUUCAUCUCUUCCAGAUUGUGUCAAGCAUCCAAAGAUCAGCCAUCAAGUGUAUUGCUUCUUUGCCACUCAGCAGUUACUAUAAUGUUUGCCAUUGCAUAUUCUGUUUUUGCUUUCUGUUCACUGUAUUUCUUUUUUAAAUUUUCGUCUUGAAUUUAGCCAUUUGUAAGUUUUUGAUUGAGGUAGGUUGACAAAAUGGUUGUCUUUAUUUAGUCUGGUGAUACUUAUGUCAUUGCAUUUCAUUUGGAUUUGACUUGGUACUUUUCUCAUUUUAAUGUUGGCUGGUCAUAUUUUGUGAGUCUGUAACUCUGGUUUUUACUUUUUCGUUUGCAGUCUCUAUAAAAAGGGGAGCUUCUCUCUAGUCAUGUAAUUUCUAACAUGGAUGCGAGUCCUACUCUGUCCUUAUUGGGAGGGGUUUUUGUGUAUCAAGUCCAUUCUAACAGGCUGAGUGUUUGGCCCUUAUAAGCCAAGACACUCUCACGUGGGACAAGAACCUCCAACAUUUUGUUUCAUCCGAACUCGCGCUACAGCAAGACUUAUUCCUUGUCUACCUUAACAGGUUAAGGACAUCCGAUUACAGACUAGGAUUGGAAUUGCUCUAAACUACUGAUAACGUGUUGGACAUUUGUCAUUCGAUUCACAAGCUUAACUUGUUAAGUAAAGCUGCCUAUCCAUCCUAAUAAACUCUCCAACUGGAUCUGA